GAUGAACGCUGGCGGCGUGCUUAACACAUGCAAGUCGAACGAAGAAAUUUAGAAUGAGAGCUUCGGCAGGAUUUCUUCUUUUCUUAGUGGCGGACGGGUGAGUAACGUGUGGGCAACCUGCCCUGUACUGUGGAAUAAUCACUGGAAACGGUGACUAAUACCGCAUGUCAUCACCGGAGGGCAUCCUCUGGUGAAAAAAGGAUUUAUUCGGUACAGGAUGGGCCCGCAUCUGAUUAGCUAGUUGGUGAGAUAACAGCCCACCAAGGCGACGAUCAGUAGCCGACCUGAGAGGGUGAUCGGCCACACUGGGACUGAGACACGGCCCAGACUCCUACGGGAGGCAGCAGUGGGGAAUAUUGCACAAUGGGGGAAACCCUGAUGCAGCAACGCCGCGUGAAGGAUGAAGGUUUUCGGAUCGUAAACUUCUGUCCUAUGUGAGAGAAGAAGACGGUAGCAUAGGAGGAAGCU
rnacentral:rRNA from 1 species